rnacentral:lncRNA from 1 species
GUCUAUUUUUUUCCAGUUUUGUUGAGAUAAAAUUGGAUGUAUUACACAUUCCCCGUGUCUUACACUCCACCUGUAGUUUAUCCUACGCAACCACUGGUGAAUAGUGGGGUGAUCAUGAUGCUACUUCAUGUCAUGAAUUACCUGUGUUCCAUUUCCAACAAGAAAGGAGUUGGUCCAUGAAGUCCUCAAAUACAUGAGCAAAACAUUCUCACAAAUGCAUUUUGAGGCUUUUGUUUCCUAAGGCCACUUUCUAAACUAAUUCCUGAGUCAGUUAGAGUCCUGGCAGGCCAAAGAUGGCAUACUCAAACUGGAUACUUUGAGGAGCCUUUACUAAAGGGAUUAUUUACCAAGGUAUACGUGGAAUACAAGCAAAUGGGUCAUGUUUAGUGCAGAGCCCUACAGGGAUCUGUUGCCUCCUAAGCCUGAAGGGACAAGGAGAGGCCAGAAUUUCUGGAACCCUGAGAGGGUAGCUGUAGAGAGAUAGUUGCCUGACAGUCGCCGAAGCCUUCCACAGAUGACACAGUCAGCUCCUGGUGACCCAACGGGGAGGGCGCCAGGGGUAUAAAAGCCUUAGCAUCUCUGUUCUCUUGCCAUCUGGUCAACUGCUGGUGCCUCCCUUUGUCCAGUCCCAACUGACAGCAAAAGAGAAGGGGGCAUUAAUUGAUUCCCUACAGGUUAACCUCCAAAGGCAUAGCCAAAGUUGGUUGUAGGGGCACAUAAGUGGCCUUAUUCUGGGCAGAGCUGGCUGGGGUUAGAUGGAGGCAUAGUAACACUUCUUGUGACAACCAUGUAUAAUUGUCACCCUUUCCAAUUAAUAGGCCACAGUCAUGUGCGUGAGCUCAUCAAGGAUACAUAUCAGCUCCAAGGAAGUUACUGGUGGUCCCAUUUUCUAGACAAGGCAACUGGUGCUUCUAUAGCUGAACCCUCCAGGCCAACCACCUACAUAUCCUCUUCACCUUCACAAAUCUGCAUUUCUCUGGAGGAGGGAAAACAAGUGUGCCUUCUCCUUUCCAGGCAUGAAGGUGACAGGGAACUCAAGAGAGACCAGAGACACAAUAUUCUUUCUACUUCUGGUGAGCAUUCUGGGCAUUUUGUUUAAAGGGUCAAGAGAUUGACCUUUGACAUAGAAAACAAACCUAUGGUUACCAAAGGGGAAAGGGCGGGAGGAGGGAUAAAUUAGGAGUUUGGGAUGAACAUAUACACACUACUAUAUAUAAAAUAGAUAACCAACAAGGACCUACAGUAGAGCACAGGGAAUUAUACUCAAUAUCUUGUAAUAACCUAUAAAGGAAAAGAAUCUGAAAAAGAAUAUAUAUAUGUAUGUGUGUGUGUAAAACUGAGUCACUUUGCUGUACACCUGAAACUAACACGACAUUGUAAAUCCAAUAUUCUUAAAUUUUUUUAAAAAAGAGAGACUGACCUUUAAUCAAUAACAGUAAUAUAAAUGCCUAAUUUUAUUGAGUGUUUACUGUAUGUCAGACACUGUGCCAAGCACUUUCUGUGCAUUUUAUCCUCACAACAGCUCUGGGUAGGAGGCAUUCAUUGACUACCUCUUUCACGUGGGGAAACUGAGGUUGGACACACUGUAACUUGCUCAGGCAUGGAAUUUGAAACCGGGGAGUCUGGCCCCUGUUUCCAGCCUCUAUGCUAUAGCAGGGAAAGGAAUAGAAGAGGUACCGUCCCUGAGUUUUGCCACUU